GUGAAUCAUCAAAUUUUUGAACGCAUAUUGCACUCUCUGGUGUUCCGGAGAGUAUGCCUGUUUGAGGGUCAGUUAAAUAAAAAUCGAGGUUUUUGUUGCCUUUUCGUGUUGAAGCUUCGGAAUUGGGUCGUUUUUACCUAUCGUUUAGGUGACUUAAAAUUUUUUUAUGAUUUCUGAACGUUUUUAAAUUUAUUUGGUACGUUUUGUAAUAUCAAAUAUUUAUUAGUUUUGGUCAUCUUAAUGAUUCACGUCUAUAAUUUUUCAUCUAAUGACUUCAAUUAAGUUAAGAGU
rnacentral:misc_RNA from 1 species